rnacentral:rRNA from 1 species
GUCUGUAUGGUGUUUUAUAAAGUCUGGCCUGCCCACUGGUAUAAAACUAAAGGGCCGCGGUAUUUUAACCGUGCGAAGGUAGCAUAGUCAUUAGUCUUUUAAUUGGAGGCUUGUAUGAAGGGUUGAACAAGAAGUGAACUGUCUUGAAAAUAAAAUUUGAAUUUAACUUUUAAGUGAAAAGGCUUAAAUAUUUUAGAGGGACGAUAAGACCCUAUAAAGCUUAAUAAUUUUGUAUAUAGAUAAAUAAGUUGUUAGUAUUAUAUUGUCUAUUUAUUAAAUUAUUUCGUUGGGGCGACGAUAAUAUAAUUUGUAACUGUUUGAAAUAUUUAAUUCAGAAGUAUUUGUAUUUAAUGAUCCUUUUGUUGUUGAUUAAAAAUUUAAGUUACUUUAGGGAUAACAGCGUUAUUUAUUUUGAGAGUUCAUAUCGAUAAAAAAGUUUGCGACCUCGAUGUUGAAUUAAAAUUUCUCCAUGGUGCAGUAGUUAUGGAAU